GGUUCCAUGGUGUAAUGGUGAGCACUCUGGACUCCAAAUCAAGCGGUUCGAGUUCAAAUCUCAGGACCU
rnacentral:tRNA from 1 species